AUGAACGCUGGCGGCGUGCCUAAUACAUGCAAGUCGAGCGAACAGACGAGGAGCUUGCUCCUCUGACGUUAGCGGCGGACGGGUGAGUAACACGUGGAUAACCUACCUAUAAGCCUGGGAUAACUUCGGGAAACCGGAGCUAAUACCGGAUAAUAUAUUGAACCGCAUGGUUCAAUAGUGAAAGACGGUUUUGCUGUCACUUAUAGAUGGAUCCGCGCCGCAUUAGCUAGUUGGUAAGGUAACGGCUUACCAAGGCAACGAUGCGUAGCCGACCUGAGAGGGUGAUCGGCCACACUGGAACUGAGACACGGUCCAGACUCCUACGGGAGGCAGCAGUAGGGAAUCUUCCGCAAUGGGCGAAAGCUUGACGGAGCAACGCCGCGUGAGUGAUGAAGGUCUUCGGAUCGUAAAACUCUGUUAUUAGGGAAGAACAAAUGUGUAAGUAACUAUGCACGUCUUGACGGUACCUAAUCAAAAAGCCACGGCUAACUACGUG
rnacentral:rRNA from 1 species